GGGGUGGCCGAAAGUAACCUGGAACAAGAUUAUUUUCCAAGUCAAUGUUUACACAGAUCAACACAGGCUAGAAGGUGCAUACCUUCCUGCCCAAAAGAAGGGCCAGCAUGUGUAGGGGUUCUUCCGCUCAUCCAUGUGCCAUGCUGAUUAUCUGUGUUAAAUUCACUUGAAGGCAUUCUCCAAAGUUCAUCACUAACAAAUCGCCUUCGUCCAUCAGG
rnacentral:misc_RNA from 1 species